rnacentral:rRNA from 1 species
GACGUAGGGGGCAAGCGUUGUCCGGAAUCAUUGGGCGUAAAGCGCGUGUAGGCGGCUGAGUAAGUCUGCUCUGAAAGCCCGGGGCUCAACCCCGGGAGGCGGGUGGAUACUGCUCAGCUCGAGUCCGGAAGAGGAGUGUGGAAUUCCUGGUGUAGCGGUGAAAUGCGCAGAUAUCAGGAGGAACACCAAUGGCGAAGGCAGCACUCUGGGACGGUACUGACGCUGAGACGCGAAAGCGUGGGGAGCAAACAGG